GCGGAGGGCUGGAGGAUGAGCGCCCCGGUGGAGCCCAGGAUCAAACAGGCGCUGCGGAAGAAGCCCGCGGAGCGCACUCCGGAGGACUUGAAUACUAUCUAUUCUUUUCUUCAUGGGCUGGACAUACUGUCACAUUUCAGGGAACAUCAACUAAGAAUAAUGUCAUCCAGUGCCCGCUAUGAGAGGUACAAGGGCAACCAAGUUCUCUUUUGCUCAGAAACUAUUGCAAGAUGCUGGUAUAUCCUGCUGUCUGGAUCUGUGCUCAUGAAAGAUUCAAUGUUUUUGCCACCUUGCAGUUUUGGCAAGCAGUCUGGGGGAAAGCGAGGAUGCGAAUGUAUCAUACUGGAACCUUCAGAAAUGAUUGUGGUGGAGAACUCUAAAGACAAUGAGGAAAACAUCUUGCAAAGAGAAGUCCCACUGCGGCAGUCCCGUCGGAGGUACAGGAGGAUCAACCAGAGGGGCGAGCGUCAGACCAUCACGGACAAUGUGGAUCCCAGCAGCUACGUGUCUCUUCCAGCUGACCUUACCAAGAUGCAUCUCACUGACAAUCCUCAUCCUCAGGUGACGCACGUCCCUUCAAGCCAGUCAGGCUGUAGCAUUGCCAGUGACUCUGGGAGCAGCAGCCUCUCUGAUAUUUAUCAGGCUACAGAAAGUGAGAUGGGAGAUGUUGAUUUAACGGGUCUUCCAGAAGCACCUGUAGACUCUGAAGAUGAGGAAGAGGAGGAGGAUGAAGAUAUCGACAGAACUUCUGAUCCACUUCUAGGGCGAGAUGUUGUCCGAGAGUGCCUGGAGAAGGAGCCUGCCGAUAAAACUGAUGAUGAUAUUGAGCAAUUAUUGGAAUUCAUGCAUCAACUCCCUGCCUUUGCAAACAUGACCAUGUCUGUGAGGAGAGAAUUGUGCUCAGUGAUGAUAUUUGAAGUUGUAGAGCAAGCAGGAGCCAUCAUUCUUGAAGACGGCCAGGAACUUGACUCUUGGUAUGUUAUUUUAAAUGGCACAGUAGAAAUCAGCUAUCCUGAUGGGAAGAGUGAGAGUCUCUGUAUGGGAAAUAGUUUUGGGAUUACUCCCUCUCUGGACAAACAGUACAUGAAUGGAGUGGUCAGAACCAAAGUAGAUGAUUGUCAGUUUGUAUGUAUAGCCCAGCAAGACUACUGGAGGAUUCUGAACCAUGUGGAAAAAAACACUCAUAAGGUGGAGGAAGAAGGAGAAAUUGUGAUGGUAAAGGAACACAGGGAGCUGGAUCGCAGUGGAACCAGAAAAGGACACAUAGUUAUCAAGGCAACACCCGAGAGACUCAUCAUGCACUUAAUAGAGGAACAUUCUAUUGUGGAUCCAACCUACAUUGAAGAUUUUCUUUUAACAUACAGAACAUUUCUCACAAGUCCCUUGGAAGUUGGAAAUAAGCUCUUGGAAUGGUUCACAGUGGACAGUCUCAGGGAUAAGGUUACCAGAGUAGUGUUACUGUGGGUGAACAAUCAUUUUAAUGACUUUGAAGGAGAUCCUGCCAUGACUCGAUUCCUGGAAGAAUUUGAAAAGAACUUGGAAGAUACGAAAAUGAAAGGCCAUCUCAGAUUGCUGAAUAUUGCCUGUGCUGCCAAAGCCAAAUGGAGACAAAUCACCCUGCAAAAGCCUUCCAGAGAUUCUCCCCUGUUUUUCAGCCUUCUUGGAGGCAGUGACAAGGGGUUUGGUAUUUUUGUAGAGACUGUGGAGAUAGGCAGUAAAGCAGCAGAAGCCGGACUUAAGCGUGGUGAUCAGAUAAUGGAAGUAAAUGGACAGAAUUUUGAGAACAUUACCUUUGUAAAAGCUCUGGAAAUCUUAAAAAAUAACACACAUCUCUCCAUCACUGUAAAAACAAACAUUUUUGUAUUUAAGGAGCUGCUCUGCAGGAUAGGACAGGAGAAGAAUGGAAUUCCACAUAUUCCGAAAAUUGCAGAAAAGAAAAACAACCGUUAUUCUAUCCCAGAUAUGCCUGGAGAUGUGGAACAGAUGUUUCCCCGUGAAAAAGGAAACAAGAAAAUGAAAGCAAACACUGUAUCUGGUGGAAGAAAUAGAAUCAGGAAAAUUUUAGACAAGACCCGUUUUAGUAUCUUGCCUCCAAAACUGUUCAGUGAUGGCAGCGUGAGCCAGUCGCAGGAUGACAGCAUCGUGGGGACUCGGCAGUGCCGGCACAGCCUGGCCAUCAUGCCCAUUCCAGGCACCCUCUCAUCGAGUAGCCCUGACCUGCUGCAGCCCACACCCAGCAUUCUGGAUUUCUCUAACCCUUCAGCUGUUGGGUUUUACUAUAUUCCAGAUCAAGUGAUACGAGUUUUCAAAGCGGAUCAGCAGAGCUGUUACAUCAUCAUCAGCAAAGACACUACAGCAAAGGAGGUGGUGUGUCAUGCUGUCCAUGAGUUCAACCUGACAGGAGCCCCAGAGACCUAUUCCCUGUGUGAGGUGUCCGUCAGCCCCGAGGGGGUCAUCAAGCAGCGGAGGCUCCCCGAUCAGUUCUCCAAGCUGGCUGACAGGAUUCAGCUCAAUGGACGGUAUUAUCUGAAAAACAAUAUGGAAACAGAGACCUUAUGCUCAGAUGAGGAUGCUCAGGAGCUACUCCGAGAGAGCCAAAUUUCCCUCCUGCAGCUGAGCACCAUUGAGGUGGCCACUCAGCUUUCCAUGAGGGACUUUGAAUUAUUCCGCAACAUUGAGCCAACAGAAUACAUUGAUGACCUUUACAAGCUGGACUCCAAGACAGGGAACGCUCACCUGAAACAGUUUGAGGAUGUCAUAAAUCAAGAGACCUUCUGGGUUGCCAUGGAAAUUUUAGCAGAACCCAACCAACUCAAAAGAAUGAAGAUUAUUAAGCAUUUCAUUAAAAUUGCUCUCCACUGUCGAGAAUGCAAGAACUUCAAUUCCAUGUUUGCAGUGAUAAGUGGGUUAAAUCUUGCACCGGUAGCUCGUCUCAGAGGCACUUGGGAAAAGUUACCCAGCAAGUAUGAAAAGCACCUCAGAGACCUUCAAGAUCUUUUUGAUCCAUCUCGAAACAUGGCAAAGUACCGCAACAUCCUCAGCAGCCAGAGCAUGCAGCCUCCAAUUAUCCCACUCUUCCCUGUUGUCAAGAAAGAUAUCACAUUUCUGCAUGAAGGCAAUGAUUCUAAAGUGGAUGGCCUAGUAAACUUCGAGAAACUCCGGAUGAUUGCCAAAGAAAUUCGCCAAGUUGUCCGCAUGACCUCAGCAAACAUGGAUCCAGCUGUGAUGUUCAGACAAAGGAAGAAGAGGUGGAGAAGUUUGGGGUCUCUGAGCCAGGGCAGCAUGAACUCGAACAUGCUGGAUGUGCAGGGAGGGGCUCACAAGAAGCGUGCCCGCCGCAGCUCCCUGCUGAAUGCCAAGAAGCUCUAUGAGGAUGCACAGAUGGCCAGGAAGGUGAAGCAGUACCUGUCCAACCUCAGUGUAGAGACAGACGAGGAAAAGAUCCAAAUAUUGUCACUUCAGUGUGAACCUGCAUACAGCACUUUGACAAAGAAUUUAGGUGAGAGAAGAGGAGGGAAAUCCUCUGAAAUGUCUCCAGUGCCCAUGAGAUCAAUUGGCCAAACCACAAAAGCCCAUCAGCAUCAACAAAACCGAAUGAGUCAAGUUCUUCAGGUCCCAAGUGUGAAUUUGUACCCCAGCAGGAAAAAGGGACUGACAAAGGAUCAUGUCACAUUCAGUACAGGCUCUCCACAGAAGUCAUUAAGCUUGUCUGAGGAAGUAAGUAGUAAGAAGCAAACAGAUGAUACUAUGUCCAUGGCAUCUUCUCUACACUCCAGCCCACCUGCUUCUCCUCAGGGCUCCCCACGCAAAGUUGGCAACAUCCAAAGGUCGGAUAACUGCAGUCAGAUGAAUCUCUCUGGCUCUUCCUCAUCACUGGCCAGUGAAACCAGCAACAAGAACAGUGGACAGCGCAGCUAUGGAAUAGGCUAUGCCCUAAUACCUUCCACCAAAUCCGACAACUUCUCGGACUCCAGUCACAGUGAGAUUUCAUCGCGCUCCAGCAUUGUGAGCAACUGCUCUGUGGACUCCAUGUCAGCAGCACUGCAGGAUGAGAGGAGCCUGUCCCAGUCCCUCAUUGCAGUGGAUGCAGGCGGGGCAGAGAGGAAGGAGCAUCCUCAGGCACUGACAGAUUAUGGCCAGCCCUGCCCGGGCUGGUCCAUCACUAGGCCUGCUCUGAUAAGAGGGAUGGCAUUCACAUCUUCCAUGAGCACCGAGGAGAUCUCCCACGAGCACAUCACAGUCGAGGCAGCAGACAGUGGCCGGGGAAGCUGGACUUCAUGCUCAAGUAGUUCUCAUGACAAUUUCCAGAAUAUCCCAAACCAGAAGAGCUGGGAUUUGCUCAGUUCUUACCGUCACACCCAGCUAGAUGGACCCAUUGCUGAAGUGGAUCCCACAAACUGUUACUCUGAGGAGGGUUAUUUGUAUUCCGAAGCCUUUUCCAAAGGCAGCAGGCAGUCGAAAGGCAGCGUGGAGCUUGAUCAGUCUCGGCAGAGCUGGGCAUCCUCCAGCUCCCUCUCAGACACCUACGAGACAAACUAUGGGACAAUUAAGCGGAGGGGGCUGGAGAACUCCACGGUGGAGCAGAUGGAGGGUUUGGACUCUAAACCAGGCGCUGAUACAACUUACAAAACUGUUACUUCGAGUACAGAAAAAGGCCUGAUAGUGUACUGUGUCACCUCACCUAAGAAGGACGAUAGGUAUAGGGAGCCACCGCCCACCCCUCCAGGAUAUAUGGGGAUUUCUUUAGCCGACAUAAAGGAAGGAUCGCCCCACCACCCACACCUCAAACCUCCAGACUAUAGUGUGGCAGUGCAGAGGUCAAAGAUGCUGCACAGUGACCUCUCUAGACUUCCAGCAGCUGCUGUCGGUAGUGACCCGGUGGCCUGUGUCUCCUCAAGGACGCCUCAGUGGCACGGCCCGUCCAGCCCCAGAGUAGCAGAGCUGCCUGACGCAGCUAGUGAAGAGGAUGAAGAUGAACAAGUAUCAGCAGUUUAACCCUUGGGCUAUUUAUAUAAACCACUCACAAGCAUGUGGGAGAAGGUCUCAUGGUUCUGUUAGCGACUGCUGAUGACUUGCUGCUACUGACCUCAGACCUUGCCUCUGUCACAGACAAGAUGGAACGGGUUGGAUCACCUCUUCACACCUUCCUUCACUCUGCCACCACCACCUAAGAAGCUAUUUCUGCCUAUGAAAUAGAAAAUCCUGUUCAAGGAAUGUGCUGACUGCCUGGAUACCAAUGGGUGCAAGGUGAAUACAACAUUUUUGGAAAAUGCCAAAAGUACCAAAAACAACCCAAAGCCUUUGAUGUGCUUUCUCCAUAGUAGCUAGUGGCUGAUGCAGCCAGGUGGAUAUGAAUGACCCAGCCUGUGUCUGCCUUCAGAGCAGUACCAGGUUCAACAUUGUCUGGAAUGUACCUGUCAUGAUAGGAACUGGGAAGCUGGAAAUGAACAGUGAUGCUGAGGAAGAGGAUUCCUAAUUUAUAACUCACUGGUUGCCUGUAUGAAUUUUUGACGCAAGUAUCAGAGAAGCAAAUGGUUGAAAAAAUAUAUUAAAAUCCACUUGAGGUAUGGCAUAAUAAAUGCAUUUUGCUUUCUCAAGGCCUUAAUGUGUAUAAUGAACUUGCACGGGUCUUAAUGACUAAAGAUUAAUGUUUCAAAGCAAUGCAGGCCAGAGUAGGUGUUUUCAGCACGUGCAAUAUUGAUAAUUGAAUUCUUGAACUGAUAUUCCUGUGGGAUGUCACCUGUAGUUGCUUGUUAACUUCUAUAUGGAAACAGCAGGCUUUGAGUUCCAUCAGAAAUCAUUUGCAUUGUGCCAGGUGAAUGAAAUCAUACAGUUCCUUGGCUUUGGGGGGGAGCUGCAACUUAUCCCAGCCUGUUGAACAGAAGUAUAGGGGAUGGGGAUUACUAAAGUGGCUUCCUUUUACCCCAAAACCCAAUAGUGCUGCCUUUGAGGAUGCAGGGAACCCCUGUGGGGGGAGCAGGGUCAGGGUCUUCUAGCAGUCAGAAAGAGCAGCUGAAUAAAUCACCCAUCCAAACAUGGUGUUGUUUGAUGGUGUUUGCACAUCAACAGGAUCCAUCUGUUCCACAGGCCUUGGCCAACACUGAAAAGUUCUGGAAUGAGUGAAAGCCUCACUAAUAGUAUUUUCCUAAUAGCCAACACAGCUGGUGUACAUAAAUCAUACAUGAACUAUGGACAGAUGAACUGCUCCUGCUACUCCUGCCUUGCAGUGUGGCUUCUCUGCUGCUCCUUGCUGGGGUUUUGUUUGUUUGUUUUUAACUGAACCGAUCACAUUGAUUGGGGCCAAUAGCCAAAUAUAGAGUGUGUGGUGUGGGUUUGAAGAGACAUUAUCCCUUUUUUUUGUAAUGCAGACAGAAGCAAUAUGGUGGCUAGUACCUGUUGUACAUUGCUUUGUUGAAGUGAUGUCUUCUGGACCACAGAUCCCUGACUCUAUACCUCUGCUAGAUUCUUCUAACUCGGGCUC